UUUGUUUGGGAGGGUAGGAUGUUACAUUUAUUUUAUUAUUACAUAUUUAUUUAUACUUUUUACAUUUCAUUUUGUAAUAAUCAGAACACAUAUCUCAGGACAGUGAAGAAAAUGUGGAGGAAUGUCAUGUUUUGUACCUACUUAAUAAAAUACAACAGCAUCAAUAUUAUCAUUCAGUCCCAUUAAACAAGCUACAACAAAGACUCCUAAAACGCAAGCUUGACAUUAUAUAAAACUAUUGGUACCUCUAUAACACUGUGGAGGAGGUUAGGAGUGAGGCAUGGAGGGAGGGGGUUGGGACUGAUGUAUUGAUAAAGGGCUACCAGACAGAUAGGGGUCUGAUAGAUCGAUAGGUGACUAGUUAUGGAGGAUAGGAGUCAAUAAUAGAUCAAUCCAUCGAUAGGAGACUAUGUAUGGAGGAUAGGAGUCAAUAAUAGAUCAAUCCAUCGAUAGCAGACUAGUUAUGGAAGGUAGGCGUCAAGAACAGCAGGAGGUAUUGGGUAGGUGACUAGUUAUGGAAGGUAGGGGUCAAUAACAGCAGGAGGUAUUGGGUAGGUGAAUAGUUACGGGAGGUAGGGGUCAAUAACAGCAGGAGGUAUUGGGUAGGUGACUAGUUACGGAAGGUAGGGGUCAAUAACGGCAGCAGGUAUUGGGUAGGUUGAUGAGGUGAUGGUGUAAACACACAGACAAUGGUCUCUACACACUCAUCAUGCUUCACCAGGUCCUCUUGAUAAUCUUUUUUUCUACAUCGUCAUCAACAACAAUAAACAACCACUAUGGGGUCAAAAUGGGGGGACAGAACACAUCCAUCCAAAUAAAAAGAGAGAAAGAUAGAACCGAGGAGAAGAACAGAGUACGGCUAUUAAGAGUACUCAUGAGUCUGCUGCUGCUGCUACUGUUACUACUGCUACUGCUACUGCUACUACUACUACUACUACUACUACUGUCCGAGGAGCAUUAUGAAUAGACAGCGUCAUAGCUAGAACACAGAUUCUAAUAUGGUUCUUCUCUGUGAGGGACUAGGUCCAGGCUUUGGUGCUGUCUGGAUAACCCAAGCAGACCUGGGUUCAAACAGUAUUAGAUUUCUUUGAAUAUUUGAGCUGUGCUUUAUUGAGCUUGGCUGGCACAGUGGAACCAACGACAACAGUCUCAAAAAAACUAAUCUGGUUACUCCAGCCAGGCAUAAAGAAAACAGAUACUAGUUUAACCCAGGUAGGUCUGAACCAGCAUUGACGCCGUCACUAAGUAACACUAGCCGUCGCUGUAAACAGAGAUCUUAAACUGGCCGAGGGAGUGGAGGGCCCUGUCUGUACAGGACUGGGCAGAGAUAAAGAUAUAGAAGUCUACUGGGCAUGAUAGAGAUCUUAACAAACUGGCCGAGGGAGUGGAGGGCCCUGUCUGUACAGGACUGGUCAGAG
ensembl:lncRNA